rnacentral:rRNA from 1 species
AUGUAGAGAGCGCGGCGAACGGCUCAAUAACACGUAGUUAACCUACCCUCGGGAUGGGAAUAACCCCGGGAAACUGGGAUUAAUGCCCACUAGAUGAUUAUACCUGGAAUGGCUUAUCAUCGAAAGAGUCUGGAAACAUGCUUCCAGCGUCGCCCGAGGAUGGGACCGCGUCCGAUCAGGUAGUUGGUGGGGUAAUGGCCUACCAAGCCUAUAACCGGUACGGGCCCUGAGAGGGGGAGCCCGGAGAUGGAAACUGAGAAAAGGUUCCAGGCCCUACGGGGUGCAGCAGGCGCGAAACCUCCACAAUGCGCGAAAGCGUGAUGGGGUUAUCCCGAGUGCCGUCCGAUGAGGAUGGCUUUUAAUCGAUGUAAGGAUUCGAUAGAAUAAAGGGGGGGCAAGACUGGUGUCGGCCGCCGCGGUAAUACCAGCCCCCUGAGUGGUAAGGACGAUUAUUUGGCCUAAAGCGUUCGUAGCCGGCUUAUCAAGUCUUUUGUUAAAUCCAACGAUUCAAUCGUUGGGCCGCAAAAGAUACUGUUAUGCUAGAGGACGGGAGAGGUCGACGGUAGUCCAGGGGUAGGGGUGAAAUCCUAUAAUCCUUGGAGGACCACCAGUGGCGAAGGCGGUCGACUAGAACGUGCCUGACGGUGAGGGACGAAAGCUGGGGGAGCGAACCGGAUUAGAUACCCGGGUAGUCCCAGCUGUAAACGAUGCGGACUAGGUGUUGGGGCAGCCACGAGCUGCUCCAGUGCCACAAAGAAGUUGUUAAGCCCGCCGCCUGGGGAGCACGGCCGCAAGGCUGAAACUUAAAGGAAUUGGCGGGGGAGCACCACAAGGGGUGAAGGCUGCGGUUU